UUGAAAACAAAUCAUGGAUUUAUUGACUGAUGUGUAUAUGGUUUUGCAAUAAUUGCAGGAUUCCAGCCAAUCUCCAAGAGAAGUGCGUAUCACAAAUAUUUCCGGGCUUCCAUCAGAAGAUGAUCUUCUGAUAUACAAAAGGUUUGUUAAUUUGGGCCAAAGCCAGCGGAAGGUUGAUGCACACAGCCAACAAAGCAGUACAAAACAUCUAGACAGCAUGAUGACUAUAUCGGAACCAGCCUCUUCGUUCCUUCGGGACAGCAUUUACGAGGUGCAUCUGGCUGGUCUGGACGCAAAAUCGGCACAAAUCUUCACUUCCCACAUCCAGACUGGCAAAGGCAUAAUACAGCCCUUGUGUCGGGAAGACCUGGUACUCUACAGAGAAUACAUCAAAAGCCGAUACAUGUGAAGAGACUUUGCAUGGCGGCCCUGGAAACAUUAAAUGUCAGAGGUUAGCAUGCGAUGAUUAUUCAAUGGAACUAAAUGCCAGGAAUCAUUGUUCCGGAAAAAUGACAAUUUCAGAACUUAAAAUUGUCUCUUCUGUCUGAUUCAUACCAUGGGCUAAGAACUCCAAUUUCAAAAACGAGGAUGUUUUCCAAAGAUAAUGAUUGCUUUCAAUACGAGAUCAAUUAACAAUGGACCAUUUCGGGGGAAGCUCAUUAUGUCUCAUAUUAGUUUUGCUUUAUUAAUGGCCCUGUCCCACUGUACGAGCUCAUUUAAGAGCUCUCCCGAGUUAAAAAAAAAAAUCAAACUCGUGGAAGCACAUAGAAUGUACGUAGCGGGCACGUCGGAGCUCGGGACGUCUCUUAGCGGCUCGUAACGCUUACGGCAGGUACUCGGGAAACGCGGUAAGCUCGGGAAGACUCGUGAAGAUUUUUCAACAUGUUAUAAAUGUCCACGAGAGCCCCGUGUACCAACGAGUGGCUAUUACCGUAAAUCUCCGAGUUCAAAUCAGGGCAAACUCUGGAGAACUCUUGAAUGAACUCGUACAGUGGGACAGGGCCAUAAGUCUUCAGUUUAAGUUAUUUAGAUAAUAAGGAAUUAUUUAAGUGACAUCUCAGCAGCUUAAUAUAUCUAAUCAGUACAUUCAAUGUCAAUGUUAUUAAUUAUUGAUUAUUUUUCUUCCCUUAAAUAUUAAAUGCCGCUUCAAACUUU